UACGUAGGGUGCAAGCGUUGUCCGGAAUUAUUGGGCGUAAAGAGCUCGUAGGCGGUUGUCGCGUCUGCCGUGAAAGUCCGGGGCUCAACUCCGGAUCUGCGGUGGGUACGGGCAGACUAGAGUGAUGUAGGGGAGACUGGAAUUCCUGGUGUAGCGGUGAAAUGCGCAGAUAUCAGGAGGAACACCGAUGGCGAAGGCAGGUCUCUGGGCAUUAACUGACGCUGAGGAGCGAAAGCAUGGGGAGCGAACAGG
rnacentral:rRNA from 1 species